UCGGGAAUUUUGGGCAAUGGGCGAAAGCCUGACCCAGCAACGCCGCGUGAAGGAUGAAGUAUUUCGGUAUGUAAACUUCGAAAGAAUGGGAAGAAUCAAUGACGGUACCAUUUAUAAGGUCCGGCUAACUACGUGCCAGCAGCCGCGGUAAUACGUAGGGACCAAGCGUUGUUCGGAUUUACUGGGCGUAAAGGGCGCGUAGGCGGCAAUUCAAGUCAUCUGUGAAAUCUCCGGGCUUAACUCGGAACGGUCAGAUGAUACUGCUUUGCUAGAGUGCAGAAGGGGCAAUCGGAAUUCUUGGUGUAGCGGUGAAAUGCGUAGAUAUCAAGAGGAACACCUGAGGUGAAGACGGGUUGCUGGGCUGACACUGACGCUGAGGCGCGAAAGCCAGGGGAGCAAACGGGAUUAGAUACCCAAGUAGUCCCUGAGCGGGCUGGCAAGGCGCAU
rnacentral:rRNA from 1 species